CAACUACCAUACCGCGCCGGUUCCCGAAUGGGACUAAUAGGGAAUCCGAAGCGCGGUACACCGCGUCAAUCGGAACUGCCCCCGCAACUGUAGAUGCCGAGCCUGCUCCCCACUGCCACUGGACCGCGUCCGGGAAGGCCGGAGCGUGGCGACGACGCAUCAGUCAGGAGACCUGCCGGCCCAGCACAAUCACUC
rnacentral:ncRNA from 18 species